rnacentral:rRNA from 1 species
AGUGAACGCUGGCGGUAGGCCUAACACAUGCAAGUCGAACGGCAGCACAGUAAGAGCUUGCUCUUACGGGUGGCGCGUGGCGGACGGGUGGGGAAUACAUCGGAAUCUACUUUUUCGUGGGGGAUAACGUAGGGAAACUUACGCUACUACCGCAUACGACCUACGGGUGAAAGCAGGGGAUCUUCGGACCUUGCGCGAUUGAAUGAGCCGAUGUCGGAUUAGCUAGUUGGCGGGGUAAAGGCCCACCAAGGCGACGAUCCGUAGCUGGUCUGAGAGGAUGAUCAGCCACACUGGAACUGAGACACGGUCCAGACUCCUACGGGAGGCAGCAGUGGGGAAUAUUGGACAAUGGGCGCAAGCCUGAUCCAGCCAUACCGCGUGGGUGAAGAAGGCCUUCGGGUUGUAAAGCCCUUUUGUUGGGAAAGAAAAGCAGCAUGUUAAUACCCCGCUGUUCUGACGGUACCCAAAGAAUAAGCACCGGCUAACUUCGUG